CUACGGGGGGCUGCAGUGAGGAAUUUUGCGCAAUGGGGGAAACCCUGACGCAGCAACGCCGCGUGGGUGAAGAAGGCUUUCGGGUCGUAAAGCCCUGUCAGGUGGGAAAAAAUACUCCUGGUUAAUAGCCAGGGGAGCUGAUGGUACCACCAGAGGAAGCACCGGCUAACUCCGUGCCAGCAGCCGCGGUAAUACGGAGGGUGCAAGCGUUGUUCGGAAUUACUGGGCGUAAAGCGCGUGUAGGCGGCCUGAUAAGUCAGAUGUGAAAGCCCUGGGCUUAACUCAGGAAGUGCAUUUGAAACUGGCAGGCUUGAGUAUGGGAGAGGGGAGUGGAAUUCCCAGUGUAGAGGUGAAAUGCGUAGAUAUUGGGAGGAACACCCGUGGCGAAGGCGACUCUCUGGACCAAUACUGACGCUGAGACGCGAAAGCGUGGGGAGCAAACAGGAUUAGAUACCCGAGUAGUC
rnacentral:rRNA from 1 species